GCCUUCGUGGUGUAGUGGUCAGCACGCUCGGCGCGUAUUCGAGAGGUCCGUGGUUCGAGUCCCGGCGAGGGCA
rfam:Stegodyphus mimosarum contig20661, whole genome shotgun sequence.